rnacentral:rRNA from 1 species
UACGUAGGGCGCAAGCGUUAUCCGGAAUUAUUGGGCGUAAAGGGCUCGUAGGCGGUUUGUCACGUCGGGAGUGAAAACUCGGGGCUUAACCCCGAGCCUGCUUCCGAUACGGGCUGACUAGAGGUAUGCAGGGGAGAACGGAAUUCCUGGUGUAGCGGUGAAAUGCGCAGAUAUCAGGAGGAACACCGGUGGCGAAGGCGGGUCUCUGGGCCGAUACUGACGCUGAGGAGCGAAAGCGUGGGGAGCGAACAGG